CUUUUCCGAUCUCGAUAACUUUGUUCAAUUCACUACCAAGAAACAUGGUCAUUGUGCUCUUGGAACUCAUUUCAAUAAAGUUCAUAUUAUGCAUGCCCUUCGUAGCUUGGAUCCAGAUUACACAACGCUAUGAGUAAUAAUUCACAGCCCCAUAUUGGUUCUUUGAUUUAUCUCCCUUUUUGGAAUGUUACAUUUCUGUGACCAAGGCAUUUUGUUAAAGAACAAAGCAAAACUUGAGUAACUCUUCAUGGGUAUAAGAAGGAACAUGGAUUCUUUAAGUUAGUGAAGCCUGAGAAAAGGGCAUCAUCUGCCUCCAGCUCUUGCAGAUUCCCUAGGGAAAGUUGUCAUCUGUUCCGAUAAAGGAAGACUUCUUUUUAAAUAUAAAAACUGGUCAAAUAAAAUCACAACCCUCCAUUCUUACAGAGCUACAGCCAAUAUCUUUUUUAUUCUCUCUCUCUCUCAUUUAAUUCUGUUUUUUAAUUGCUUAUAGGUAAAGAUGAAUGAUGUUUAAGAAAACAGAGAUUUCAUCCUGUGUCCAUUUAUGAAAUUCACAAACAUUAAUCGAGGGCCAAGAGUGGUCUAAAUCUUAGGUCACAGGGUGCCAUAUUUAUCUCUAAAUGUGGUAAGAGUAAACAAUAAAGUUUUCUGAGCUUUUUCAUUAUUUCUUCAGAAGGAGCACUCACCAAUUUUUUUUUACCUCUGAGAUUUCUCUACCAGAGACAAGUUAUAUCUUUGAGUCUGCAGUGGAAAUAGUCCCUGAAUCCAUCACUUUACUCUUUUAAAAGCCCUGCACUUAGGAGUAAAUGAAAAAGGACUCUUGAGACUGCUCCCUCUUCAGAGAAAAUGACUUUCACUCCUCUCAUUUUAGGACCAAUUCUCCUUUAACUCUCCUGCCAAAUUCUUCACUCUCAGCUCAGCACUUCAAAUUCAGAUAAAUGGGCAUAUCACUUCUACAAAGGAAGCAAAUUUUUGAAGAAACUUCAAUUUCCUUCUUAGGAAAGUAGAGUGGUCUAAAACCAAGGGCUUAUUUCUAGGAAAAUAGCCAUUUAUAGGCUUUGCCAAAACAUAAUAUAAAAAGG